rnacentral:rRNA from 1 species
ACCAAGGCGACGACGGGUAGCCGGCUGAGAGGGUGACCGGCCACACUGGGACUGAGACACGGCCCAGACUCCUACGGGAGGCAGCAGUGGGGAAUAUUGCACAAUGGGCGAAAGCCUGAUGCAGCGACGCCGCGUGAGGGAUGACGGCCUUCGGGUUGUAAACCUCUUUCAGUAGGGAAGAAGCGAAAGUGACGGUACCUGCAGAAGAAGCGCCGGCUAACUACGUGCCAGCAGCCGCGGUAAUACGUAGGGCGCAAGCGUUAUCCGGAAUUAUUGGGCGUAAAGAGCUCGUAGGCGGUUUGUCGCGUCUGCCGUGAAAGUCCGGGGCUCAACUCCGGAUCUGCGGUGGGUACGGGCAGACUAGAGUGAUGUAGGGGAGACUGGAAUUCCUGGUGUAGCGGUGAAAUGCGCAGAUAUCAGGAGGAACACCGAUGGCGAAGGCAGGUCUCUGGGCAUUAACUGACGCUGAGGAGCGAAAGCAUGGGGAGCGAACAGGAUUAGAUACCCUGGUAGUCCAUGCCGUAAACGUUGGGCACUAGGUGUGGGGGACAUUCCACGUUUUCCGCGCCGUAGCUAACGCAUUAAGUGCCCCGCCUGGGGAGUACGGCCGCAAGGCUAAAACUCAAAGGAAUUGACGGGGGCCCGCACAAGCGGCGGAGCAUGCGGAUUAAUUCGAUGCAACGCGAAGAACCUUACCAAGGCUUGACAUGGACUGGAAAUACCUGGAAACAGGUGCCCCGCUUGCGGUCGGUUCACAGGUGGUGCAUGGUUGUCGUCAGCUCGUGUCGUGAGAUGUUGGGUUAAGUCCCGCAACGAGCGCAACCCUCGUUCUAUGUUGCCAGCGCGUGAUGGCGGGGACUCAUAGGAGACUGCCGGGGUCAACUCGGAGGAAGGUGGGGACGACGUCAAAUCAUCAUGCCCCUUAUGUCUUGGGCUUCACGCAUGCUACAAUGGCCGGUACAAAGGGUUGCGAUACUGUGAGGUGGAGCUAAUCCCAAAAAGCCGGUCUCAGUUCGGAUUGGGGUCUGCAACUCGACCCCAUGAAGUCGGAGUCGCUAGUAAUCGCAGAUCAGCAACGCUGCGGUGAAUACGUUCCCGGGCCUUGUACACACCGCCCGUCAAGUCACGAAAGUUGGUAACACCCGAAGCCGGUGGCCUAACCCCCUUGUGGGGAGGGAGCUGUCGAAGGUGGGACUGGCGAU